ensembl:lncRNA
UGUAAAUGUCAUACAUGUUGUCUGUGGCUGCUUCAUGCUGCAAAGGCAGAGCUGACCACAAGGCCCAUGAAGACGAAACUAUUUACUUAGCUGGCCCUUAGAGGAAAAGUUUGCUGGCCUUUGAUCUACAGCAAAAAUAUUCAACAUGAAGACUGAAAAUAUGAGCAGAUAUUGCAGAGAAUACCCUGAAAUGUAUGGUCUCAGUAAGAUCGGCUGUGUGGUCAAAAUGGUGAGGAGCAGAGUGAUUCCAGCCGUAGGUAUGAGCCCCAGAGCAUUGAAGUCAAGGACCCAACAAGUACCUGUACGUGAACGAUCAUGGCAGCGUUACUCACAAUAGCCAAAAGCUGGGGGUCACCCAAUGUCCACUGGUGGACAAAAUGUGACAUUUCCACACAAUACACUACUAUUCAGCGAUGGCAAAAGGUGAAGUCCUGACGCAUGCUCCAACAUGGAUGAUCCUCAAAAACAUUACGCUAAUUCAAAGAAGUCAGAUGCAAAAGGUCAUAUAUUGGAAUUUCAUAUAAUUCCGUUUUUAUGAACUGUCCAGAACAGGUAAAUCCAAAGAGACAGAAACAAUUAGUGUUUUCCAGGAGCGGGGGGUACAAGAAAAGGGGGUGACUGCCUAAUAGGUGCAGGGUUUCAUUUUGGGCUGAUGAAAAAGGCCUGGAACUAGAGAGAAGUGAUGGUUGUAUAACACUGUGAAUAUGUGCCUCCGAAUUGCUCACUUUCAGAUGGUCAGUUUUCUAUUGUGUGAAUUUCAACUCAACUGGAAAAACUGAUGGGGAUGCUAAGCAGUAUAAUACAUCCCAGAGUGGCAACUGCAGCCUCGGAGUCCAGAGUGUGAGAGCCUCCCUUUGUCUGUGAUGCGUUUGGGCUUGUGCGUCUGCGACGUUCCUGAGUCCCUUAAAAGGCAACACCAUGACCAUGGUUUUCUCAGGGCAGAGUUCUUUAAGGAUGGACUGGCUAAUCUCCUUGAAGUCCAAGGGACUCUCAGGAGUCUUCUCCAGCACCGCAACUCUCCCUGCUGGAGUGGAAACAGUCACAUGCAUGAAGCUACCUAGCAGCCAAGUAUGGGCCCUCCACAUGUCCGCUCCUGCCGACUUGAUCUUGCUGUUGGCUUUGAAGACGGAGGGAGGGCCCGUGGAAUGCAGGCUGCCGCCAGAAAGCUGAAGACACCAGGAAA